UACGGGGGGGGCAAGCGUUGUUCGGAAUUACUGGGCGUAAAGGGCUCGUAGGCGGCCAACUAAGUCAGACGUGAAAUCCCUCAGCUUAACUGGGGAACUGCGUCUGAGACUGGAUGGCUUGAGUGCAGGAGAGGAACGCGGAAUUCCAGGUGUAGCGGUGAAAUGCGUAGAUAUCUGGAGGAACACCGGUGGCGAAGGCGGCGUUCUGGACUGCAACUGACACUGAGGAACGAAAGCCAGGGGAGCAAACGGG
rnacentral:rRNA from 1 species